CCAACAAAAUGUAUUAUAGUCGGAACCCCCGAAACCAAGUGAGCUACUUCGAAAUAGUUCCAAGAACAAACCCGUCUCUGUUGCAAUAGAGUGGGAAAAUUUCUAAGUAGAGGCGAUAAACCUACCGCACCUGGAGAUAGCUGGUUGCUUAAGAAAAGAAUAUUAGUUCUGAUUUAAAUUUUCUUAUUGUAUAAAAAAGCCUAAAAAUUUAAAAUUUAUUCAAAUAGGGUACAGCUUAUUUGAAACAGGAAACAACCUAAAAUAAGGGGUAAUAUAUAAGAAUAGUUAACAAGUGGGCUUAAGAGCAGCCACCUUUUAAAAAGCGUUAAAGCUUAUUAUCUUCUUCUUUCCAAUACCAAAACUCACCUUCAACCCUUAAUUAAUACUAAGCAACUCCAUAAACUUAUGGAAGAUAUAAUGCUAGAACUAGUAACAUGAAAUAACUUUUCUCCAAAAUGCAAGCCUAAGCCACAAUAGAUAACCUACCGGCAAUUAACGCAAAUGAUUACCCUAUAAAAACCCCGACAAGAAAACCCUACAACUAAUAUCGUUAACCUUACACUAGAGCAUUAAUGGAAAGAUAAAAGAAAAAGAAGGAACUCGGCAAACCUAGCCC
rnacentral:rRNA from 1 species